rnacentral:pre_miRNA from 1 species
GAGGUUGUUUAUAAACCUAAUUUGUUUGGAGUUCCAACUUCUAACUCAUUUUCAGCCUUGUUUCUUUCGAAUAUAGUUGUUUUCUACCUAAACCACGCAAGCAAUUGAAAGAAUUAGGUUGAAAAUGAGCUAGAAGUUGGAACUCUAAAAACCAA